CGAUAGCGUUAAUGGACCGAGACCGUUGCCGGUCGAUAAAGUCGAAAUCGACUAUUUGGGAAACGAGCUUUCCAAGACCAUCGCCGUUGAGUUUCUGGGAAAGGAAUCCGGCUCGUACGCGGUCUCCUGGCUGGAACUAGCGCGAAGGAGGAUAGUGCCGCCGAACGGUUUGGGGCUUUUAUGGGUGAAGGCGGACGAGUGCCAGUAUCGAUGCCCCGAGUUAGACGCGUGCAUCAACGCCAGCGUGUGGUGCAACGGCGUGGAAGACUGCCCAUCAGGAAUCGACGAGGCACUUACUCAUUGUUCACUUCUGUUUCAGUUGCCUCCGCUCUACUUAUUUUUAGUAGCGCUGGCGAUUUUGCUUUCGGCCGUUGCAACGUGCGCGAUCGCCUGGAAGAGAUGCAGAAGACGGCCGCGCUCCUUUUUGCAGACGCGACUGAAAAGUUUGUCCUCGGAUACGGCGAUUAUUGACGAAAAGGGUGUGAUUUGCUGACACAGUGACAAUUCUGUUCGAUACGUUGAGGUUGAUAGGGUGACGACAGUGUGACGUUUCCUAACGCUCUCCUUUAACGUACCGAUCAGAAUUGGACACUUAGGAUUUUAUACCAUUUUAUAUGGGAGGACCAAAAUUUUAAACGUUUAAGGUUUUAGAUUUAUAUUUGUUAUAGAGAGGUACCUGUUUAGAGUCUAUGCUGUUUUGUUCAAGGCAGGGACAGUUCUGGCCCAAAACAAAGGUUGUUAUUGCUUACAAUAGAGAAUUUCGUUCUUAGAAAUCUUCCCAAUAACGGGUAUUAUCUAUAUUUUUUAUAAAGCUCAAAGCACGCGCAGCUACAACGACUACAGCAGGUUUACUCCAACAACAAAAUGGCUGUAAGGGUUUUGGCUUCGGACUGAGAUGUAUAGACAUAUUAAGGAAGAUUAAAGAGCGAACAUUUAUAUUCUUACUAACGUAGACCGUAGCUUUUCGGACGCAUAUCAUUUAAACUAAAAUGAGCAUGCAAUAAAAAUGACAACACUGCCAGCACCAGCGGCGUUCAUAUAGACCCAACAAUUUCGAUCGGCUUUAACUACAGCGGCCGACUUCAUGUGAUCACUUUAGGGUAUUAGGAUAUUAGUUUGACAAUCUUAAGGGAAAAAACUUGGGCAUACCUUUCAUAUCAUGCCGAAACUUUCAGAAUAAUUUCUCUGAUAUUUUUGUGAAAAAAGUUCCUUUCGUUUAAAGAAAACAGCGUUUGAUAUAGUUGUAAAAAAACCGCGAUUGCGGAUAGCAUUGUAAGGUCAGGUGAAGCUGACAAUAAAUUUUAGAUAAUGAUUAGAGUUAAAGUAUUCCUAUCUAUUAAUAAUGCGAAUUUUGUUAACGUAAGAGAAAUAGUAAAAAAUUUAUAUACAAAAACUGUAUCUUAAUCGUUAAAUAGCGAAUAAAUCUUUUGCAAAA